UACGGGGGGGGUAAGCGUUGUUCGGAAUUACUGGGCGUAAAGGGCUCGUAGGCGGCCAACUAAGUCAUACGUGAAAUCCCUCAGCUUAACUGGGGAACUGCGUGUGAUACUGGAUGGCUUGGAUUUGGGAGAGGGAUGCGGAAUUCCAGGUGUAGCGGUGAAAUGCGUAGAUAUCUGGAGGAACACCGGUGGCGAAGGCGGGUCUCUGGGCCGAAACUGACGCUGAGGAGCGAAAGCUGGGGGAGCGAACAGG
rnacentral:rRNA from 1 species